UAAGCGCCAAGAGAAUUCUAAUGGAUGACUUCAGUGUAUAAGAUGCAGCUGCCCUUCACACCUCAUAGACACCGAGACCUAAGCAAACUGAAACUGGACGAACGUCUUAUUCGGACGGACAGCGGUAAGCUCUACGUAUCAAAUGUAUGAAUGGAACAUUCCCGGGAACUAGUACUGUUGAGACUGCGUCACUUCAUCACAACUCAACUCAAAAAGAUGACGAAGCUCGGAAAAACAAAGGCAAGACAAAGAAGCAGAACCUCCACCGUGCACAAAAGCAUGCGAGUAGAGCGGAAUUGUGGGGAGACACCAUGGAGGACACGCCGUGACAGCUGCGGAGCUUCCUGUGUAAAACAAACAGUCGACGAACUCCAAUGGAUUUGUGGAAUCCGGCCGCCACACCCACAGAGUUCAGAGGUCACAUUGCAACGUUGGAGUGUGUCUCAGAAGGCCUCUUUGUCAGCGCACACGAGAAUCGUAAGCACCAAGAUUCCUUAAGCAAAACUAUAUAUUGGUAAUACCUAUUUCGCUCCACAUAAAAAAUACAUUUAAAAAAACACACACACAAAUGUAUUGGAAAUAGUCAUUUUUGUCAACUAUUACACCCUCACACCUCUCACCAGGAGGUAUUUAAAGCUUACAAGUCUAAAUUUUCGGUAGGGAAACAACGUCCUCUGCUGGUUCUGGAAUGUGAGCAUACGUUUUUUCCAACUGCCUUUCCAGAAAUACAAAAGUACUAUUAGCGUGAUUAUUUUUACUUGAAUCAAAAUGAAAAUCAAUUACACCAAUCAAAUCAUCAGUAACCAGGUCUGUGGUUUUCUUCCUUAAAUAAAGGAAACCGGAAUCCCACUCACUUUAAAGUUGUCUUUUUCGUUCACAUGUUCCAGGCCCGUCUGAGCGGGCGGAUGUUUAAAUUUUCCCUAAUCCGCAUUUAAAGUGUGCAGGCCAUUGCGAUGACAUCAACCGUUCCUGCACACGCAGACCUCCACAAUGCUAUUAAUAGACCUGCCAGGGGACCCUCACCGAUUGCAUCCAUACCUCAGAAAGAACUCCAAAGUGACAUGAUGUUUACAUACUUUCGGGUGAGAUUGUUCUGUAGAAAGAGGUCACAAGAAACCAAAAAGAACAUGUUUAGUCUGCUCUCUGUGAUUUUUUUUUCCAACUUACAGUUGAAUUUUUGUCAGCGGCGAAACAUUUUCCUGAAAAAGUGGGAAUAUGAAUUGCUAUAUAGCUAUGAUACAUAAUGCAAGCCGACAAUACAUCAUAUCUAUCUCCAUGAAGGGGAA